GUCGCUGGCCAUAGGGUGUGGGUCCGACCCGCUCUCAUUCCGAACGCGGCCGUCAAACCACACCACGUUCCCAACCUCUGUAGUGCGAGAGCCUACGAGAUGUUGGGAAUGCUAGCGGCC
rnacentral:rRNA from 1 species